UAGAGGAGUUGAUGCCUGUGGUAGGCGUGUUAGCUGUUAACUAAUGUGGUGUGGGAUCGAGGCCCUCCAGCUCCU
rnacentral:tRNA from 1 species